UGGCUCAGAUUGAACGCUGGCGGCAGGCCUAACACAUGCAAGUCGAACGGUAACAGGAAGCAGCUUGCUGUUUCGCUGACGAGUGGCGGACGGGUGAGUAAUGUCUGGGAAACUGCCUGAUGGAGGGGGAUAACUACUGGAAACGGUAGCUAAUACCGCAUAACGUCGCAAGACCAAAGAGGGGGACCUUCGGGCCUCUUGCCAUCGGAUGUGCCCAGAUGGGAUUAGCUAGUAGGUGGGGUAACGGCUCACCUAGGCGACGAUCCCUAGCUGGUCUGAGAGGAUGACCAGCCACACUGGAACUGAGACACGGUCCAGACUCCUACGGGAGGCAGCAGUGGGGAAUAUUGCACAAUGGGCGCAAGCCUGAUGCAGCCAUGCCGCGUGUAUGAAGAAGGCCUUCGGGUUGUAAAGUACUUUCAGCGGGGAGGAAGGGAGUAAAGUUAAUACCUUUGCUCAUUGACGUUACCCGCAGAAGAAGCACCGGCUAACUCCGUGCCAGCAGCCGCGGUAAUACGGAGGGUGCAAGCGUUAAUCGGAAUUACUGGGCGUAAAGCGCACGCAGGCGGUUUGUUAAGUCAGAUGUGAAAUCCCCGGGCUCAACCUGGGAACUGCAUCUGAUACUGGCAAGCUUGAGUCUCGUAGAGGGGGGUAGAAUUCCAGGUGUAGCGGUGAAAUGCGUAGAGAUCUGGAGGAAUACCGGUGGCGAAGGCGGCCCCCUGGACGAAGACUGACGCUCAGGUGCGAAAGCGUGGGGAGCAAACAG
rnacentral:rRNA from 1 species